rnacentral:rRNA from 1 species
UAUACAAUGAAGAGUUUGAUCCUGGCUCAGGAUGAACGCUAGCGGCAGGCUUAACACAUGCAAGUCGAGGGGUAACAUUGUGCUUGCACAGAUGACGACCGGCGAACGGGU